rnacentral:misc_RNA from 1 species
CGUCCGCAAUGGAACUGCGCGAGAUGAGCCGCGCGUACGGCACUGCGGAGGAGACUGCCGAGCUCCUGCCGCAGCACGACAACGCGUCUGAGUACGAGAGCUACUUCAUUGAAUAUGCGAUGCAGAAGGAGAUGAUCAAUCGUAAUCGGUGCCCCGCGAGCCGACGAUUGCUCAGUCAGACCGCACACCUGGACUUCAAUUUUUCCAACAGCAAUCAUUCCAAGGAUUCACCAUGUGCCGGAAUCUCCAUGAUCCACACUUCGAGCGAGAACUGGCCGCCCUCCAGAAAGCGCGAAGAGGCAAAAGCUUUGGAGAAUCUUAGGAAAAGACUAGAACAGAGCAAAUUAUACAAGACGAAUCGAAUUACUGAUCAUAGUCAUUUACCCGUCAUAGCCACCACGUCCUCGAUAAACUACGAGCUAACUCAACAACAAUUGGACAAUCGACCGAAACUUCUGAAAAAGAUACUAAGCAACCGACCGAUGAGUAUCACAUAUGAUAGGAGUGACUUGGAAACUGAUUGGCGCGACAGCGAAUUUAUCACCGAGUGUCUUUGCUGGCACAACGUUUAUCGGCAACGGCAUAACGCACCUCCGUUGACGAUGUCACCGCAGUUGUGCGAGUACGCUCAAUCAUGGGCAAAUCAUUUGGCGCAUACGAACACGUUCUAUUAUAAAAAUGAUCGGAACGUAGGUCACAAUCUUUAUUGUCGUCCUGGUGGUGCGGUACCUGGCGAUAUCACGGGACAGGAAGUCGCGUCUUACUGGUAUUCCGCUGUGAAGCAAUACGAUUUUCUCAAGGAACCGGAUAUUCUCCAUGCCAAUGUAAACGCAGGUCACUUCACUCAAUUAAUAUGGGCGAGAAGCUGUUACUUCGGGGUCGGUAAGGCAUGCAGCAGAAGCGGCAAGGUGAUCGUGGUAGCAAACUACGAGCCGGUGGGCAACGUGUCCGGUCAGUUUCAGAACAAUGUAUUUCCGCCGUUACCUGAGAAUAUGAACGUGAUGCUAUCACCAUCCACUAUUCGGAUGCCGCGGGGACAGUACGAACUACUGAAAUCCACGGCAUCAUCCUUGCCACCAUCGUUACCGCUUCCGUUGUCAGAUACCGCGUCAACCGCCAGCGAUACUAUAUCCGUCAGCUCCGGCCAAUAAUACCAUGACCGUGCAAAAUGCCUUCUCUGUAUUUGUGCACGAUGGGCCGGACAUUGAAGAGAUUGAGAGAAAGAUCGAUUCUUUGCGUGCCGCGAAUCAAAGAUUUCCGACACAUGACGAAACAUGAUGACCGAUGUCUCUGUUGACGAGCAGAACAAUCGCAAUCAUGAUCACCGUGUAGCGCCU